GUGUCUUUUGGAGAGAGGUAGAUCUGCACACCAAGGAUGGUUGGAUGCGCAAGGCUGCCAAACUGGCAAUGCACCCGAGACUUGGCAGAGCAACGUAGGCCUGACACCAAAGACUAGCAAAAAACUUUCAGGAAAAAGUCUGUAGCCAUGAAAGGAGGCUUAAAAGUCCCAUUACAACUGCAAAUACUAAUGAGAACAGCCAAGCUUGCCCCAUAUGUGGGUCAUAUGAGACUGUGUGGGUUAUACGUGGGUCAUAUGUGGCACUGGCGCCACGAGGAGUUAUCAACUUGAAAGCACUCACAACUUCCAUCCAACCUUCUUUUCUCACUGUAAUUGUAGUAUUGUCCUUGUUUCCUGGCUUGGAGGAGGUAAGCCAGCCUUUGAAAUAUUAGAGGAAAAGAUUUUCUUCCCUGUAGAAUCCCAACUGCAUUACUGCAUGGUAUCACUGUUCCCAGGACAAGAUGUGGUCCAUCUUUCCAUAACAUCCAUCCUUGGCCAGGCACAGGUAAACACAACUGGCUGACAGAGAAGCCAUGAUCUGAAAUUUUCCUUUUUAAUUUCAUUCCACAGCAUCUAAAUGCAUAUUUUGGGGGAUGCUUUAAUUGCUGAGAAGCCCGUGAGUCAUGAGCUCCUUAACAGGCUUUAGAUUUCUAGAUGAGAAACUACUCUGUCGAUUCCCUCGUACUUCGGUGGGGACGGCUAGGGGCAAGCGGCCGAAGUGACCGUGUCUGUGACGGGGGCACGGAGCCCUGGCCGUGGGGGGCUGCGGCAGGCCCGCCGGCACACCUGGCCCCGGAGCAGGCACUGUCUCCGCGUCCUCUCAGCUGCGAGCUACUGGAGCUUUAUUUUAAGGCCGACGCGCUGCCGGGAAUUGCCCCCGCCCGGCUGGCCGGGCUCCCGCGGCCGCGCACCCCCGGGCCCGCCGCGACCGCACCGUGCGGUCGAGCCGCAGCCGCCGCCGCCCGCAGCAGGGCUCGGGCUCCCGUGCCGGCGGAGGGGCGGACGCGGGGGGCGGGAACGCGCGGCACCGCCCCGGCCCCGGCGCCGCCGGGAGCCGGGAUCCGGCAGAUCCGGGUCUCGUGGCGAGGGCUGACGUGUGAGCCGGCCCGAGCAGCGGGGCCGCGCCGCGGGGCCGCCCCUGCCCGCCCGGCCCCCGCCCCGCAGCCCUCCCUGACGGCGGCCGGAGCACGGUGUUCACAGACAAGUUCAAGUUUAUCCAGAGAACCAUGGCAGAAGGUGGAUUUGAUCCCUGUGAAUGCAUUUGCUCACAUGAACAUGCAAUGAGAAGACUGAUUAAUCUGUGCCAGGACCAAACUCAUCCAGUGACAAUGGCAUCAGCUUCGCCAUGAUAAUGAUGGCAUGGGUCGUGAUUGCACUUGUCUUGUUCUUACUGAGACCAAAUAAUCUAAGAGGAUCAAACACAGCCGGAAAGCCAACCAGCCAACAUAAUGGACAAGAACCACCAGCCCCACCAGUGGACUAGAGCGUUCAGUAUUGGAAAAGUUCAGCAGCUAAAACCUUGCAUGACCAAAUGAACGAAGUGACCAGAUUACUCCUAACACCCAUUCAAUACUGUUUUCUUUUCUCAUUUGUAUAGAGCAGAAUUAUCAUUCAGCAAUCUUCAUGAGCUGCUUUUAGCAACUUCAAUUUUUUAAGUUAAUUUUUGCUUUGUAUGUUAUUACAAUUCCUAGUAGAUUGUAAUUUGAAUAAUGAUAAGGCAUUGUGGGGGUUUUUUGGUUGUUACUGUUACUACGGACGUUCCACUCAGUCUCUUUCUGUUACAGUGAUCUUAAUUUCUUUGAUGUGAUUUUUGAUAUUCAUUGAAAGAAAAAGAAAAUCCCAGUGCAUCUAUAAUAAUGGAGGGUUACUGACCUUUCUUCAGAUUAAUUCAUAUUUCUUCUCCAGUAUGCUUUUGAGAGUUAUAUUAUGGUUGGAAGCAUUAACUUAGUUAUGUGGUGAAAAAUAGAAAUUAUUUUAUAUUUGCCCUGGGUUCGGAGCAACUUUUAGUCUGGUCUUUGGACCACUAACAUAGUUUUCAGGGUUGUUGGCAAAAGCACAGAUUGUCCACUAGAAUUAUAAUCUUUCUCUGUGUGCGCACAUAAGUGAAUGUGACAAUUGCCACUGUCAAAGCUUUGACCUAUAUAUUGGGAACUUUACACAGAAGAUUAUACCACCAAAAAAACAUUAAUUUAGUCUUGUUCAUAUAUAUAUCUUAUUCAAUAUGUUGUCAAAAAACAUAUUCUAAAACCAGAUGUGUUUACUUAUAGACUUUAUGAAAAGAGAAAUUUAGUAAGAAGAACUUGGUAGAAUUUUUUGUCCUGGUAUAGUCUUUUAAUAAUUAGUACCUUAACAAGUUUUUAGCCAUGACGUAAUGUAUAUUGGACAGGAUGAAAUCAUACCAAGGAGUUACCAAGGUUACCAACUUUUGGUAUACAACAUGUUCUGAAUUAUUCAGGUUUUUUCACCUGUGUGUUGUCAGCAGUUCUUAACAUUUCAUCCUUAUCUACUAGUUGUAAUUGUAGAAUAACAAACUCGCAGAUGACCACAUAUGGCAUGUCUUUUCCCUCUGACGUUUGAGUGUGUGUGUGGUGUGUUUAUGUGUGUGUAUGUGUGGCUGUGCACACACCUGUGCACGUCCCAUUGUAGCAAAUGGGAAUGAGUUUUUUUAUGUACAUUAAUUUAAAAACAUUUUAAAGAUGUACAGAAAAGCGACACUGUAUAUUUUUCUUGUUCAAUUUGAAAAAUUGAUGAGAAUAAUGUAAAGAACAUUUUUAUGCUACCAACAUGAAGCUUCUUUCCUUAAAGGUCAGUAGAACAGACAUAUGGAAAUUCAAAGCCUUACUCUACAAACCUUUAUUCCAUGAGGACUGUAGUUACGGAGCUGAAGGGACUAACUGUUAAAGUGCAAAAAGGUUUGUAUUAACAGGCUCUAACAAAAAUCUUGCACCAGAUCCCAUGGUUGACAGAUACACGGUUUUCCUCCUCAGGGUUAAUGGUGGGCCAGCUAAGCCUCCUGGUAAAGGUACAGUGUAGACUUGAAAAAAGGCUUCUGUGAUUUGGUGUAAUUGACCUUUGAAUUUCUGUGAAAUAGUAUGCUCCUAAGCAUAGGAGCAUGUAUAAAAAAUUAAGUAAAAAAAAAAAAGAUUGGGCCAUGUGCUCUCUUUGACAUCAGUGCAGUGCCACGUAAAGUAAUGAAACCGCAGCAGAGAAGCUGAGAGAAUUUGUCCUGUUAUGUCUAAUAGUGUACAGGCCACAAACACUGUGUAAAGAUGUCACUGGGACAAGCACUCUGACUGUGCUUGCUUUUUGCCUUCCAUGUACAUUUAUAUUUGGGAUACUAUUUUGAUCAGAACAAGUAAUACAGCAUCAUUUUGUUGAACCAACAAGGAAACAUAUAUAAUCUCCAACAGUGACCUUUUCUCCAAGGAUUUUUGGCCAGAAUUCUUCACUAUUGGAGGCAUAAAACAAGUUUCCAAUUGAUUAAAAAGCCAACUGAAACAUGCUUCUAUUCAGACAGAGCACCACUCCUCAUCCUGUUGGAAGUUGGUGAGAUUUACAGGAGAUGCUCCUCACUUGUGAGGAUCAGUCUUCCUUUACUUAAAUGUCUGUGUACGUAUUUAUAAAACUCACCAUUUGCACCCAGCUCUAAGAGUCUUGGCAACUGAACUUUUUGUUCAGAGGAAUGUUGUGUUUUACGUUUAAAUGAAGUAUCUUUGCUUGAUUCCUCUAAGUAAUUGUCCCAGUGAUUUUAUACAUGUAUGCUUUCCUCAUGUAAAUUGCUAUUUUAAAAUUUUCUAUGUAAAAGAAAAAAAAUUGGAAAUAUUUUAUUGUAAAGUGUUUUACUAAAGAGCCAGGCCACUAUCCCACAUCAAAACAUAUGCCUUUUAAAUUCAGAUACUGUCUUCAAGAUAAAACCUGCAGAUCACCACUCUUAAUUAAAAUAAAAGUGACUAACCUUAGGACUGUACUUUGCCACUCUUAUUUGGGUUAAAUGGUGCCUUACUCAUCAAGUAGUUGCACUGAAGUUUGUGGGACUACUCUGAGGUAAAGUACUAGUAGCAGCUUUAGUAAGGGUGGCAGAAAUCUGGCCUUUAGUUAUAUAAUUUGCAAUUAAAUAAUUGUAUCAUGGUUACAGAUGUUUAUGGUAAAUUUUGAGAAGUGUGGAAGAGAUUAGUGGUAUGAAAAGCUCCAAGAUACAAUCAGUUCUGUAAUGAUGGUUUUAAGCUUGGUUAGUAAAAGAUGCAAGUUGUAGCAACUUGGGAAAUAGGGAGGGAAGUUUACAAUUAUACCUUAGCUUAGAACUUUGUUAAAACAAUAGUAUUUUUAGAGUCUGCUUAACACAGUUAUUAUACUCUGAAAUGAGAAAUCAUAUGUAUUCAUGUAUUGUCUACAGAUCACUUAGCCUUGUAAUAUCCAUGAUUGAAGAAGGAAGAGUGAUGAUGUCAUGUACUUAAUGUAAAUCAGUGGUUUAAAAUAUCUGAAUUAUGCCAAACAAAAAAUCAUCUGUGCCAUUUGCGGUUUCCUAGUAAUCUUUUACUGAGUACUUGGAUUGGGGUAAAGGGCUUGUACUAUGCACUUUUUAUUGACCUAACAAAAUAAAUAGCAAUCAUUAGUAAA